rnacentral:lncRNA from 1 species
CUCAGAAAUCUAUUUAGAAGCAAAAGAUCUCACUACACGCUGAUGAAGACUUCUGGAUGAGAGAGGAUUCAGACAUCAAAUCAGGCUGUGGUUGUUGGUAAAUCUUUCCGUUAUCCAAGGUCAUGGGAUCCGAUCCAAACUUGUAAAGAACUGUCCAACAAUAAUAAAGUUAAGUUUUAAUUUCAGCAAUCUUGAAAGGAUUGAAUCUAUUAAAGGAUGAUAAC